rnacentral:rRNA from 1 species
AUUGAACGCUGGCGGCAGGCCUAACACAUGCAAGUCGAACGAGUGGCGGACGGGUGAGUAAUGUCUGGGAAACUGCCUGAUGGAGGGGGAUAACUACUGGCAACGGUAGCUAAUACCGCAUACCAUCGGAUGUGCCCAAAUGGGAUUAGCUAGUAGGUGGGGUAACGGCGCACCUAGGCGACGAUCCCUAGCUGGGCUGAGAGGAUGACCAGCAACACUGGACCUGUGACAAGGUCCAGACUCCUACGGGAGGCAGCAGUGGGGUAUAUUGCACAAUGGGUGCAAGCCUGAUGCAGCGAUGCCGAGUGUAUGAAGAAGGCCUUCGGGUUGUAAAGUACUUUCAGCGGGGAGGCGUUACCCGCAGAAGAAGCACCGGCUAACUCCGUGCCAGCAGCCGCGGUAAUAC